AAAUUGAAGAGUUUGAUCAUGGCUCAGAUUGAACGCUGGCGGCAGGCCUAACACAUGCAAGUCGAGCGGUAGCACAGGAGAGCUUGCUCUCCGGGUGACGAGCGGCGGACGGGUGAGUAAUGUCUGGGAAACUGCCUGAUGGAGGGGGAUAACUACUGGAAACGGUAGCUAAUACCGCAUAACGUCGCAAGACCAAAGAGGGGGACCUUCGGGCCUCUUGCCAUCAGAUGUGCCCAGAUGGGAUUAGCUAGUAGGUGGGGUAACGGCUCACCUAGGCGACGAUCCCUAGCUGGUCUGAGAGGAUGACCAGCCACACUGGAACUGAGACACGGUCCAGACUCCUACGGGAGGCAGCAGUGGGGAAUAUUGCACAAUGGGCGCAAGCCUGAUGCAGCCAUGCCGCGUGUAUGAAGAAGGCCUUCGGGUUGUAAAGUACUUUCAGCGGGGAGGAAGGUGUUGUGGUUAAUAACCACAGCAAUUGACGUUACCCGCAGAAGAAGCACCGGCUAACUCCGUGCCAGCAGCCGCGGUAAUACGGAGGGUGCAAGCGUUAAUCGGAAUUACUGGGCGUAAAGCGCACGCAGGCGGUCUGUCAAGUC
rnacentral:rRNA from 1 species